UAGGGAAUCUUCGGCAAUGGGGGGAACCCUGACCGAGCAACGCCGCGUGAGUGAAGAAGGUUUUCGGAUCGUAAAGCUCUGUUGUUAAGGAAGAACGAGUGUGAGAAUGGAAAGUUCAUGCUGUGACGGUACUUAACCAGAAAGGGACGGCUAACUACGUGCCAGCAGCCGCGGUAAUACGUAGGUCCCGAGCGUUGUCCGGAUUUAUUGGGCGUAAAGCGAGCGCAGGCGGUUAGAAAAGUCUGAAGUGAAAGGCAGUGGCUCAACCAUUGUAGGCUUUGGAAACUGUUUAACUUGAGUGCAGAAGGGGAGAGUGGAAUUCCAUGUGUAGCGGUGAAAUGCGUAGAUAUAUGGAGGAACACCGGUGGCGGAAGCGGCUCUCUGGUCUGUAACUGACGCUGAGGCUCGAAAGCGUAGGGAGCGAACAGG
rnacentral:rRNA from 1 species